rnacentral:rRNA from 1 species
AACGUAGGAGACAAACGUUAUCCGGAGUUACUGGGCGUAAAGGGCGUGUAGGCGGUUUGUUAAGUCUGGCGUGAAAGCUCUCGGCUAAACCGGGAGAGGUCGUUGGAUACUGGCAGACUAGAGGACGGUAGAGGCGUGUGGAAUUCCGGGUGUAGUGGUGAAAUGCGUAGAGAUCCGGAGGAACACCAGUGGCGAAGGCGACACGCUGGGCCGUACCUGACGCUAGAGCGCGACAGCAUGGGGAGCAAACGGG